rnacentral:rRNA from 1 species
UACGUAGGUGGCAAGCGUUAUCCGGAAUUAUUGGGCGUAAAGAGCGCGCAGGUGGUUGAUUAAGUCUGAUGUGAAAGCCCACGGCUUAACCGUGGAGGGUCAUUGGAAACUGGUCGACUUGAGUGCAGAAGAGGGAAGUGGAAUUCCAUGUGUAGCAGUGAAAUGCGUAGAGAUAUGGAGGAACACCAGUGGCGAAGGCGGCUUCCUGGUCUGUAACUGACACUGAGGCGCGAAAGCGUGGGGAGCAAACAGGAUUAGAUA